UNUGAAGUUAAAGGCUGUGGCUCAACCAUAGUUCGCUUUGGAAACUGUCAAACUUGAGUGCAGAAGGGGAGAGUGGAAUUCCAUGUGUAGCGGUGAAAUGCGUAGAUAUAUGGAGGAACACCGGUGGCGAAAGCGGCUCUCUGGUCUGUAACUGACGCUGAGGCUCGAAAGCGUGGGGAGCGAACAGGAUUAGAUACCCUGGUAGUCCACGCCGUAAACGAUGAGUGCUAGGUGUUGGGUCCUUUCCGGGAUUCAGUGCCGCAGCUAACGCAUUAAGCACUCCGCCUGGGGAGUACGACCGCAAGGUUGAAACUCAAAGGAAUUGACGGGGGCCCGCACAAGCGGUGGAGCAUGUGGUUUAAUUCGAAGCAACGCGAAGAACCUUACCAGGUCUUGACAUCCCGAUGCUAUUUCUAGAGAUAGGAAGUUACUUCGGUACAUCGGUGACAGGUGGUGCAUGGUUGUCGUCAGCUCGUGUCGUGAGAUGUUGGGUUAAGCCCCGCAACGAGCGCAACCCCUAUUGUUAGUUGCCAUCAUUCAGUUGGGCACUCUAGCGAGACUGCCGGUAAUAAACCGGAGGAAGGUGGGGAUGACGUCAAAUCAUCAUGCCCCUUAUGACCUGGGCUACACACGUGCUACAAUGGUUGGUACAACGAGUUGCGAGUCGGUGACGGCGAGCUAAUCUCUUAAAGCCAAUCUCAGUUCGGAUUGUAGGCUGCAACUCGCCUACAUGAAGUCGGAAUCGCUAGUAAUCGCGGAUCAGCACGCCGCGGUGAAUACGUUCCCGGGCCUUGUACACACCGCCCGUCACACCACGAGAGUUUGUAACACCCGAAGUCGGUGAGGUAACCUUAUGGAGCCAGCCG
rnacentral:rRNA from 1 species